AAUGUUAAAUCGCACCUCGGAUUCAACUAGAGGAUAUUUCUGAACGCAGGAUUUGAAUAUUUUCUCUUCCAGAGUGUGUUUCUGAACAUGCCCCAGUUUACUGAUUGGGCUGACUUUAAAUUACAAGCUGACAAUUGAUUAAAACUAAAAAAUAAGAAGACUAAAGUCUUCACCGAGUAAGUCGCCGUUGAUUUUUUACCCCCAUUAUUGAAAAAUGUCUAAUGUAACGUCUUCAUUCACACAUUAACUUCACAAACCGAAAAUUUACAAAUCGCGAGGGUGACUACUUUCUGCGAGGACUUUACGUGCUAUGUAUCUUUUACAAACAAAAGAAACAAGAAAAUAAAUAUCUGAGAAUCCAAAUCCUUUAGCUUUGAAGUGAUUCAGUUUUUUUCACAAAGAUUUUAAUUAAUGUAGCAUAUAGAAAAAAAUAUAAAAAUAUAUAAUUUUAUUUAUAUGUAAAAAUAAAAUAUUUGUGGUUAAUUUUUUUUUAACAAAAAUAAUCAAAAUGUCAGAAAAGUCAAGAAAGAAAAAGUCUGAUUCAAAUGUAGCUGUAAUUACACUGAGUGAUGACGAAGAAAUUAGUAUCAUUGAAAAAGAAAAUAAUUCUAAGAGUCCUAGUUUAAAUGAAGAUGUUAAUAUAAUUUAUCAAAAAAGCUCUUCAUUUUCUAUAAUAGAAAUUAUAAACACAUCAUCAAAUAAUGACAACUCAAGUAAUGAAAUUUCACACUCAAAAUCACAUAACAAACGAAAUUCUAUAUUAAUACCAUGCCCGAUUCCACAAGCUGGUGUAUUUAAAACAGUGAUUACGGUCAGAAAUGAUUUGAUAUCAAAGCAUGAUCUCAAAAGUUCGGAUAAAAAUUUUAACAGUUCAUUAGAAGAAAAACCAUUAAUUAUAAUUGACACCGUUAAAACAGAAGUUAAAACAGAAAAUUGUGAUGAUUCGAAAGGUGAUUGUUUAAAAGAAAAAGUAGUUAUAAAAUCUGAAAACAUCAAAGAAGAGUCAGAUAUUAAACUAGAAAAUGUAAAAGAUGAGUUUAACUCACCGAAACUUUCAAAAGAUAAUAUAACUGUGAAAUCAGAAAAUAAACGUAAAGAAUCGGAAUAUGAUGACAGAAAAUCUAACAUUAUAAAAGAAGUAAAGCGAGAAAAUAUAAAAACUGAACAAAAAUAUCAGUCUACUCGCAUCAUUAAUCCCAAUUACAAUCACAGAAAAAAACUUAAAAAAGAUGAUAAGACAGACGUGUCGGAUUCAAAUACAAAUCAUUCAGAUGAUUGGCCAAUGUCUUCGUCAGCGAGUACUUCUCGAUCUAAACGUCAUACUGUUUACAAUAUAAUGUUUAUAGACAUUAAUUAUGCAAAAUAUGAAAAACCACUUUCUAGCAUCGGAGGAAAAAUAGUAUCUGACCCAUCAACUGCGAGUAUUUUAGUUGUAGAUAAAAUCUAUAUAAAGAUAAAUAUCAUCUGUGCAAUAGCACGAGGUAUUCCAAUCGUUUCUAUCCUGUGGAUAGAAUCAAGUAUUAAUAAAAAAAAAAUUGAUGAUCCAUCGCCUUUCAUUAUUAAAGACCAAGCUUUUGAAGAAAAAUAUAAAUUCAAUUUAUGUGAAAGCUUAAUAAAAGCUGCAGCCGAGCCCAUAUUUAAUGAUUACUCAUUUAUCAUUACACGCAACGUUAAACCGAAAUUUUCUGAUUUAACAAAAUUAAUUGAAGCAGCUGGUGGAUUAUCAUUAAUAAAUGCGCCGAAAGUUUGGAAGAAAAAUACAUUUAUUGUAAGUUGCGAUGAUGACUUGAGAGCAGCUCGACAAAAAAAAGUAAACUCGCCUAAAAACGCAACUAUUCCAAUAGUUACGACUAAUUUUAUAAUUGAUUCUAUUUUAAGACACAAAAUUGUUAUAAAAAACUAUCUGCUUGAACGUUAAUAUUUUAUUGUUUCGUUGUAUUUUUUUUUUUAAUCAAUCAGACCAGAGUUUAAUUUAAAUUAACAAUUGUUAGAUGUUUGAAUUAAGGUGAUGAAAAGGAAAGCUAUGAGCUGAGGGUGAUCUGAAUAACCUAAGUUACAAAACAUAUUACUUUUGAUGCUGGAUAAAGUUACUUUGAUAAGUGAAAGCUACUCAAGAAGGCUAUAAUAAUAAUUAAGUUUUGAAUUUAAAUUUUUAA